CUUCUCGUGGCAUAGCGGCAACGCGCCUGUCUAGUGAGUAGGAGUCGUGAGUUCGAGUCUCACCGAGAGGA
rfam:Aedes albopictus isolate Foshan contig70860, whole genome shotgun sequence.